rnacentral:rRNA from 1 species
CCUACGGGAGGCAGCAGUGAGGAAUAUUGGUCAAUGGACGAGAGUCUGAACCAGCCAAGUAGCGUGAAGGAUGACUGCCCUAUGGGUUGUAAACUUCUUUUAUAUGGGAAUAAAACGUUCCACGUGUGGGAUUUUGUAUGUACCAUAUGAAUAAGGAUCGGCUAACUCCGUGCCAGCAGCCGCGGUAAUACGGAGGAGACGAGCGUUAUCCGGAUUUAUUGGGUUUAAAGGGAGCGUAGGUGGAUUGUUAAGUCAGUUGUGAAAGUUUGCGGCUCAACCGUAAAAUUGCAGUUGAAACUGGCAGUCUUGAGUACAGUAGAGGUGGGCGGAAUUCGUGGUGUAGCGGUGAAAUGCUUAGAUAUCACGAAGAACUCCGAUGGCGAAGGCAGUUCACUGGACUGCAACUGACACUGAGGCUCGAAAGUGUGGGUAUCAAACAGGAUUAGAUACCCCGGUAGUC